rnacentral:lncRNA from 1 species
GAUGGUUCUCUCUCUUCUGUAAGAUCCAUAUAACUUUAUUCUCUGACCUGUAAAAAAAGUCAUUAUCCAUCUGCUAUCAUUUGGAUAUUUGACCCUGUGAAUCUCAUGUUGAAACUUGAUUCCCAGUGUUGGAGGUGGGGCCCAGUGGGAGGUGUUUGGGUCAUAGGGAUGUAUCCCUCAUGAAUUGCUUGGUGCUGUCCUUGCAAUUAUGAGUGAGUGCUCACUCUGUUAGUUCCCAGGGGAACUGGUAGUUAAAAAGAGCCUGGCAUCUUCUCCCUCUCUCUGCCUCUCUCACCAUGUGAUCUUUGCACAUGCUGGCUCCACUUCACCUCUGCCAAGUAGAAGCAGUGUGAGGCCUCACUGGAUGCAGAUAUUGGCACCACGCUUCUUGUACAACCUGUGGUUUCAGAAUCCCAACUGAAAAAGUCAGCCUAAAAGUGUCCUGUGAAACACCUGGGAAGAUAGGACGUCAGGCAAGCAACAACUUCAAUGCAAAAUGUGUCUUGUUCCAAAAGUGACAGGAGGACCACUGCCACAGAAACCACCCUAAAGUCAGAAGCAGCGGUUGUGUUCCACCAUGAUUACUUUCUCCUUCAGCGAAU